rnacentral:rRNA from 1 species
UACGUAGGGGGCUAGCGUUGUCCGGAAUCAUUGGGCGUAAAGCGCGCGUAGGCGGCCAGAUAAGUCCGGUGUGAAAGUCACAGGCUCAACCUGUGAAUGCCGCUGGAAACUGCCGUGACUCGAGUCCGGUAGGGGAGUGCGGAAUUCCCGGUGUAGCGGUGAAAUGCGCAGAUAUCGGGAGGAACACCAGUGGCGAAGGCGGCACUCUGGGCCGGAACUGACGCUGAGGAGCGAAAGCGUGGGGAGCGAACAGG